ensembl:lncRNA
AAAUUAAUUAUAAUACAAAAUUGAAAGUUGUCUGUGACCAAGUUGAUAUGUGGAUUUGCUGGUAUUUUCUUCUCCAGGCUUUGCUGCAGAUACCUUUCAUCCGUCCAAAAGCACUGCUGGUUGUGUCUUCACUGGUCCAUGGUCUUUGUCAACAGGAACAGGGUCCAUGUCAAGAAAUCUCUGAAGUCCAACAGUUCGUCCAUGUUCUGAAUCAGAGUCUUGAUGCAGGAUGUGAAGUGCAUGAUCAUUUGCAGAUCACAGAGCUGCUGCAUGUGUUGAAAGCAGUGGAGAACGCAGGAGCGGCUGCAUCAGAUCUCCUCCCCACACUGAGCCGCUGUGUGCAGAAUCAGUCUGUGCCUCUGGAGCUUCGGCUGGCAGCUGUACGAGCAUUCAGGAGAAUCCCAUGCCGUCAUGACGUCAGUAUCACUGAACAAUUUAAGAUACAAAUAGCAUACUGGCAUGCAUGUAUGUGCUGAUACGUUUACCUUGAUGUUAUAUCUAUUAUGGCAUGACUUAUGUUCUUGCAUUAUGUUCUUUCUCAUGUUAUCAGAGGACAACUCUUGCUCGGGCAUUUCAAAGCCAGCAGGAGAAUGUGGAGGUCAGAAUUGCAGCAUAUCAGCAGCUCAUGCACUGUCCAAACCAGGAGAUUUUCACAAUUGUGAAGACAACGUUAAGCACUGAGAAGUCUAGUCAAGUUGGGUCAUUUGUUUGGAGUCACCUUUUCAAUAUCCAGAAAACAGAAGAUCCCCUGAAAAAAGACCUGAUGGAGUCACUGCCAGAUGAUAUCAUAAGUAAAGACUUUGAAGCUGAACCAUGGAAAUAUUCCUCACAUAUGGACUACACAGUGGACACAGGUACUACACAUAAUGUAGCAUUUCCAUCUGUUUCCAAUAAUGCUCUGUUUGUAACACUUUGGUUUUCCCUCAUUUUUAACGUGUGGAUUGUAUGUCUGCUCCAGGAGUGGCUGCUGCUAACAUCGAGGGAGCUGUAGUUUUCUCCCCUGAAUCUUUUGUUCCACGUUAUGCUAUGGCAAAUCUAACAGUUCACGUCCUAGGCAGAGCAUUCAAUCUUCUGGAGGUGAAAAUCCAAUUUGUUCAACGUCUGUUUGUAUUUUCCACAAAACAAAUCUAUUUUGAAAUUAUUUAUUGUUUACUGUACUGUUCUUAGUCUUAUUGUUCAUCCGUGAACACCAUUCCAAUGAAAAUAAGUUUGUCUUCAUAAUCUUUCAUCAUAAUGUAAUAACUUGUUAAAAAAAAAAAGUACAACUAGGUGAGGGGUUUCAAACUGUAGUCCAGAAACACACAUAUUGCCACAAAGGGCCUGCAGAAAAAAAAAAAUAGAAAAAUAGAGAGAAAAAUUGAUUAAUGACAAAAUUUUCAUUUUGAUGUGGAGUAUCCCUUUAAUAUCCCAAUGAUUUUUUUGGCAUCAAAUAAAAAUGUAUUAUUUUGACUCA